ACAUGGAAUAAUUCUUAUCGCUUUAAGUCCAUUCCAUGAAAGUAAUGCUUACAAAUUAAAUUCCUCCACCUUUUGCUGCUACCUUGCUUGUGUGUGGGUCAGGCAGGGGAAAUCAAAUCCAACUAAGUGCAUGAAAAUGGAUUACGUACGUUGGUUGUAUAUCUGGGUCUGGGAUCGAUUAAAUCAGUGACGCUUGCAAUGACAAUUUUUCAAAUGCGUGCUUCUUCCUUCAGACUUUUGCGUCGUAGCUUCACAUAAAUUGAUGUGUUGCAUUCUCUCAGCCAUGCACCUUCAGUGGCAGAUACUUCUCGUCAAAUCCCAAGAUGCUUACAAAUUACAAUGGCCCGCACUCAUGGAGAAUUCACUAUUUUGUUCUUCAUUUCCUAUCAGAUACAGUUUGGUCUUGGGUCUAGGUCUUCUCGUUCCUUUCCGAUAAGUCCGAAGUGAGGGGAUGCCUGUAAAGACACUCCAACGUUUAAGUAAGUGCUCGGUGUAUUAAAUGCAGUAAUUGAAAGUUAGUUACGUACCUCGUUGUGGUCCUAUUUAUAGUGAUUCUUAUUGGGCCGUGAUUAGGGACUGA